UACGAAGGGGGCUAGCGUUGCUCGGAAUUACUGGGCGUAAAGCGCACGUAGGCGGCUUGUUAAGUCAGGGGUGAAAUCCUGGAGCUCAACUCCAGAACUGCCUUUGAUACUGGAUGGCUUGAGUUCGGGAGAGGGAUGCGGAAUUCCAGGUGUAGCGGUGAAAUGCGUAGAUAUCUGGAGGAACACCGGUGGCGAAGGCGGCAUCCUGGACCGACACUGACGCUGAGGAGCGAAAGCCAGGGGAGCAAACGGG
rnacentral:rRNA from 1 species